rnacentral:piRNA from 1 species
UGUUCUCUGCCAGGGUGUUUCCUAUGA